rnacentral:tRNA from 1 species
UCCCUCAUAGCUCAGUUGGUAAAGAAUCUGCCUUCAAUGCAGGAAAGAAACCCGGGUUCGAUACCUGGAUAGGGAA